CAAGACACAGUUAAGUGGGAAACGAAGUGGGAAGGCAUAGACAGCUAGGAAGUUGGCUUAGAAAGCAGCCAUCCUUUAAAGAAAGCGUAAUAGCUCACUAGUCGAGUCGUCCUGCGCGGAAGAUGUAACGGGGCUCAAAACUGUGCACCGAAGCUGCGGAUAUCGAAAAGAUAUGGUAGGGGAGCGUUCUGUAGGUCUGUAGAAGGUGUCUUGUAAAGGAUGCUGGAGAUAUCAGAAGUGCGAAUGCUGACAUGAGUAGCGAUAAAGGGAGUGAAAAGCUCCCUCGCCGAAAAGCCCAAGGUUUCCUACGCAACGUUCAUCGGCGUAGGGUGAGUCGGCCCUUAAGGCGAGGCUGAAAAGCGUAGUCGAUGGGAAACAGGUCAAUAUUCCUGUACCGAUUCUAGAUGCGAUGUGGGGACGGAGAAGGCUAGGUCAGCCAACUGUUGGAAUAGUUGGUUUAAGCGUGUAGGCGUG
rnacentral:rRNA from 1 species